rnacentral:lncRNA from 1 species
GAAUCUAUGACACACCUUUUCAUUCUGUGAGAAGCCAUAACCCAUUACUUUCUUACAUGAGAAUCUAUAACACACCUUUUCAUUCUUUGAGAAGCCAUAACCCAUCACUUUGUUACGUGAGAAUCUGCAACACACCUUUUUAUUCUGUGAGAAGUUGGAACCUGUCACUUUGUUAUGUGAGAAUCCAUAACAAAUCUUUUCAUUUUGUGAGAAUCCAAAACCUACCAUUUUGUUAUCAAGACUGUUGAAUGCCACUUGGUUCAUUAUGUGAGAAUCCAGAACUUACCAUUUUGUUCCAAAGAUUGUCGAAUGCCUUUGGUUAAUUUUGUGAGAAUUCAGAACUCACUAUCUCUUUUGAAGCAUCCUCCAAGGAACAUUUUCCCUAGUCAUUUUGUUGUAUAUAUUCCAGUAGAUCUUCUUUCCAAAUUACCUUGUUUAAUCCCCAAUGAGUUCACCUUGAAUUUUUCGUUCCUACUAAAGGAAUUUUGCAAAUACUCAUCCCAUUUCAUAUCCCCAACAAGAGAAGUCUCCAUAAACUCAUAGCAUGUCAUCUCAUCAAGGGACAAAAUUUGUUUCCUUUGUAUUUAAUUAUCCUUCACCACGAUUGUAUGAAGACUGUCGUUAUUCAUAUCCUCAGGGUAAAAGUAAUUAAAUAGGGGAAACUAUCAUAAAUCAAGUUUUCCCCUUACCAAUUCACCCACCCCUCAUGGAAUUUGUCUCAUUUUCUUAUCAUUACAUGCAUUUCUUUAGGCACAAUUCCAAAAGUCAACCAUCAUUUUUAUACUAUUUAAAAAUCCAUUUGCCCUAAUUCAUUUAGUCAUGUUUAGUUCAUAUUUUAUCCAUUUAUGCAUCAUUUCAUUUAAUGCCAUUUAAUAUACAUUACAUAUUCACAUUUGAAAAUGAGAAGGAAAUUUGAAUUAAAUUUGGUUCAUUCAUGUUCACGUUUGUUACAUCACCAGACAUGAUCAUCAUGCACCAUUACAUUCACCACAUUAACAUCAUUCAUUUACAAAAUCGAAGUUCGAAUUGAUAUAAAUACAAUUUCAAAUUAAAUAUCGUCCAAGUUCUUUUCCAUUCAAAAUUCAAGCCAAUUUGAAUUACCUCAUUAAUUCAUACACUAAUAUUACCAUACAAGUUAAAAUAAGACAAAAUAAAGUAUAGAAUUGGAAACAAAAUUGCAAAGAAGAAGAUCAAAACUAUUUAUUCCAUUAAUAAAAAAUAAUACAUGUUACAUUGAGAAUUUAAGCAAGUUACAUUGAGAAGUUUGAACAUGGCCCCCUACACAACCUCCAAUGGAUCACUCUUCACUCCUCACAAAAUCCCCAUAAAAUCAGUAACAAAAUUUUGCAAAUAUCUCAAAUUACAGCUUGCAAAUUCAUCACACGCUCUUCACUCUCAAGGAUCCCACGAAAUCAGCAAUUCACACAAAUCACUCAAAGUUCACCCACUUGAAAUCUCAUCUCACACAUUCACCUACACCUAAUUCAUUCACCAAUAAAGCCUAAAUUUAAUACACUAAGAUGGAGACCACAAAUUCAACUGAGAAAGCAAUCUACAACAACCUUUAAUCUCGUAAACCCUUCACUGAAAGCUCUCUACAAAAGCAAUUAGAGCUUCACCUUGAAGCUCUAAUUGAACUGAGCUAAACCUCAUCCAAGAAACCUCAGUAGUAGAAACAUUAAAACACACAUACACAAGAAAUGUAAGAAGAAAUUAAAAGAAGAACAAGGAGAAAAUACGAAGUAGGGAAGAAAAUAAGUUGUUACCUGCAAUUUUGUCGUCAUUGGAAAUCGCAACCGACGUGCCGAAAAUUAUUUUGCUCCGAUUCGAUACUCCCUCUAUUUUCAUUUGAUUAUGUUAAUGUACACUUCUUGAGUAUUUAUCCCUCAAAUCAAUUUCAUAAAAACGCGAAUCAAACACUUAAUAAACAUCAAGUUCUUUUAUGCUUAAUCAACAACACUUUGAAAUCUUUUUCAUAAUAAAUUAAGCCGGUUGGAAAAGGAUAUGUUUAGACAUAAUAUCCUCUCUUUUCCCCUAGUAUUUGAAUGAA